rnacentral:lncRNA from 1 species
AUGGUUUGGGGUGGAAAGAACCUUAAAACCCAUUCAGUCCCAUCCCCUGCCAUGGGCAGGGACACCUUCCACUAGCCCAGGUUGCUCCAAGCCCUGUCCUGAGCAGCCUUGGACAUUUGCAGGGAUCUAGGGGCAGCCACAGCUUCUCUGGUAACUUGUGCUGAGGCCUCCCCACCUUUAGGAACUUCUUCUGUAUGUACCAUCUAACCCUAUUUUCUGUCAGUCUGAGGCCAUUUUCCCUUCUUCUGUCACUCCACCCUGUGUAAAUUGUCUCUCUCCAUUUUUCUUGUAGCUCCUUCCGGCAGUGGAAAGCCAAAAUUGAGUCAAAUCCUAUUCUUCUCCAGGCUGAACAAUCCCACUUCUCCCAGCCUUUCCUCAUGUACUCUGUGCCUCAAGGAAGUGCUGUCAGUAAAAGCAAAUGUAGUCUUCUUUAUUUUUUAGGGUUUUAAAACUAUCAGGAUGAGACAGUACAAAAAAUUUAGCUCUUGCCUGCACAAAACCAAAGGAAACAAUCUGUUCUGUGAUAAGACCUAAAUACAACUAGCUCAGGGUGGAUGCCUAGCAAGCUCCCAAAAGUGAUUGCAGACUCUGGAUUCCAUGGAUCCAAACACCAGCCCCUUGAGAGGCAGCAGCUCGCAGCCAAGGUGCGAUAACCUCUCUCAGAAGUGACAAGACACAAACCUGCUGACCUUGGGAUAAAGGAGAUACUUUGGUACCUGCUUAACAAGAAUCCCACAGGCAGCAGUGAAUGCCAGGCUUUUAUUGCACACCAGUCUGAUCCUUGAGGAGCUUGGAGUGAUGUCAGAGGAACAAUGUCACAGGCGAGUGUCACAACACACAGGUGGAUCUGACACAGAAAGAGGAAGCAGCAGGACUCAAGCAAAAUUUUCUUCUCCUGGGGACAGCUUUAAGCACAUAGCUUGUGAACAAAACACACCCAAGAACCAAUGGCUGCAUCCUCCAAGGCCUGCAAAAUGAGGAGCAGGAUCAGAACCCUGAAACAGAGCACCUGGAAUGUGAAGAAGUCAUGGGGGUUUAGCCUGGGAUACUGUUAUAUUUUCCUGGAGUGAUGCUGCAAAGUGAGUUCACUCAUGUUUGACUUUCCUACAGAUAUUUUCCCUUGUUUGUGAUGAAAUUAGGAUUUGUGAUUAGUGCCAAGGCCUUUUUAACAGCAUUUUAAUUUGGAUCACCAGUGUGAGAAAAGAUUUGCUUUUAUUGACUUAUGCCUUACAUUUAACUUUCUACAAAUCCACUGCCCAAGAAAUUACAGAAUAAGUUUAUUCACAUUAUAAUCAAAGCCAAAAGUUCAUUUCCAGCAGUUUCAUCAUGUGCCAUUAGCGCUAAAUGAAAACUCUAUGUCUUUAAAUAAAUUCUCUUUGAAUUUCUAAUGUUUCUUUAAA